rnacentral:rRNA from 1 species
UACAGAGGGUGCGAACGUUGUUCGGAAUUACUGGGCGUAAAGCGCGUGUAGGCGGCAGCGCAAGUCGGGCGUGAAAUCCCACGGCUCAACCGUGGAAGUGCACUCGAAACUGCGCAGCUAGAGUCCUGGAGAGGAAGGUGGAAUGCUUGGUGUAGAGGUGAAAUUCGUAGAUAUCAAGCGGAACACCGGUGGCGAAGGCGACCUUCUGGACAGUGACUGACGCUGAGACGCGAAAGCGUGGGGAGCAAACAGG